rnacentral:rRNA from 1 species
GCCUACGGGAGGCAGCAGUGGGGAAUAUUGGACAAUGGGCGAAAGCCUGAUCCAGCCAUGCCGCGUGUGUGAAGAAGGUCUUCGGAUUGUAAAGCACUUUAAGUUGGGAGGAAGGGCAGUUACCUAAUACG